AUGGCAUGGCGUCUGUGUGCUUGCUUUGGGUGUGAUGAACGAUCAGUUUGGCAGAGAUACGAAGCUUCCAACUGUGGUUUGCCUUGGUUUAUGAAGAUAUGUUAUUACUGUGUUGAUUUUGAUGAGCUUCCAACUAAAUGCAUGCUACCAUCUCUGAUAGGAUCUCUCUUAAGGUUCUAUGGAUUAACAGCACUAUCUCUCAAAUACAGACUUGAUUUGGUUACAAGAAUGGUGGGGAAAGAACUAGGGUUCGAGGAAAGGGGAAUGGGUAGCCGCCGCCGGUUCCUUCGUGAUCCACUGGAUGCUUGUGCUUCUGGAGGCUGA
rnacentral:rRNA from 1 species